GGUUCGAUGGCGUAGUCGGUUAUCGCAUCUGUCUUACAUAGAACUCUCCUGAGUAUGCGUUACACAGAAGGCCCCCGGUUCGAGCCCGGGUCGAACCA